GAUGAACGCUGGCGGCGUGCCUAAUACAUGCAAGUCGAGCGAACAGAUGAGGAGCUUGCUCCUCUGACGUUAGCGGCGGACGGGUGAGUAACACGUGGAUAACCUACCUAUAAGACUGGGAUAACUUCGGGAAACCGGAGCUAAUACCGGAUAAUAUAUUGAACCGCAUGGUUCAAUAGUGAAAGACGGUUUUGCUGUCACUUAUAGAUGGAUCCGCGCCGCAUUAGCUAGUUGGUAAGGUAACGGCUUACCAAGGCAACGAUGCGUAGCCGACCUGAGAGGGUGAUCGGCCACACUGGACCUGAGACCCGGUCCAGACUCCUACGGGAGGCAGCAGUAGGGAAUCUUCCGCAAUGGGCGAAAGCCUGACGGAGCAACGCCGCGUGAGUGAUGAAGGUCUUCGGAUCGUAAAACUCUGUUAUUAGGGAAGAACAAAUGUGUAAGUAACUAUGCACGUCUUGACGGUACCUAAUCAGAAAGCCACGGCUAACUACGU
rnacentral:rRNA from 1 species